GCCAGCAAAAGAAGAGGAAGGGAGAGGGUGUUCCAGCAGGAGAAACAGCACAACUGCAGGGCCUCGAGGGGGACAGAGAGGACAACUGCAACCAGCUCCAGUCAUGGACUGGACAGAGGGUGAUGAAAUCCAGCCUGGUUUGAGCUUCCAACCCCACCGCAACAGAAAAGGGACAAGAAACCCCUUCCCAACGGUGUUCCAUCAGUGUUGAGAGCUGAGGGAAGAUGAUGCUGUGAGGCAGGCACUCUGUAAAGCACCCACUCUGCGCUGCGCACCGCACCAGGCACUGGGGACAUGGGACAAGGCAAACUUAUCGCGUUCUUGGGGAGAAGAAUCUGUGCCAAAAUGUGACAAGUAUUCCGGAAAAGGAAGCUCAGGGCGCCAUGGCAGCACAGAAAAGUCUGAGGAAAGCUGUCCCUGGGGCCUUUUUCCCUCUCUGAGGUCAUCACAGAAGAAAGGGGGGCCCUCCUGCUGGCAGGAGCUGGCAGUGAAGCCUCACCCACCCCCUUGCUGGAGUGAUUAUGGCAGCAGUCUGACAAGGAGGGGACCAGGAGAAUGAGCAGAGCCUUGGGACUCUCAGAAACUGACAGGCAGUGCCACCAAGGCGGCAGAUAAAAGGGUGCCCAGGGAGGCUGAUGGAGUCGAACUCUCAGGUCCCUUCGUGCAGAGGCCUGGAGUGAUGCUAGCUCAUCAGCGCCUACAUGGAAUGGAGCUGUUCCAGCUGGCUAGAGCCAUGCUCCAAAGACAACCUUUCACCCUAGAGAGGUGAUUAAUGGUUUUUAAGAGGGGAUGUGGGAGUAUGGCAGCAGAACAUCAGUUUCCGAAGUUGGAAUUCAAUCCCGAGUGAAUAUACCCAAGAGUGUAUGAAACAAAAAAACAGCAAAACAUAGCAAGGACUCCACAAGCCUCCAAAUUCAAGACAAGUCAUUGACAACCUUCUUCAAUAGCAGGUCUCAGCAGCUGCAGGUCAGACCACGAAAGUGCCCCAGAAUGAUCAUCCCAACACAUUCCGUCUUUCUGAUCAUGACACCUUAUAGUCAGCGCUCCCACCUAGGAUUACAUUUUUACAAUGUGGAGACUGUUGCUUGCCUGCCUCAUUAAAGCUGGCCUCUGGGGCGGGGAGGCCCUUUCAAAUUCAAACCAUGACUUUUAGAAUUCAAAUCACAAUGUUAGGUUUCCAGUUCAAACUGUGGUUUUUGAGAUGCUGAUUAUUUUUUGUUAAGACCUUAUCCCCCACCCCCAGAACUCUCAGAAGACUAAGGGGAAAAAAGGGUAGUAAAACACAAGGAAUUCCUUCAGGGAAGGAAACUUCCUCCAGAAGACCCUCAAACCAGGGAUGCUUCUUUGCUCUUUUCCUUUUAAGCUAGAAUCUCUCAAAACCACAAUUUGAACUUGUAACCACAAUUUUCCUGACACUGUAUCAAAGGCUGGUCUUAAAGGAGCCACCAAUAUGCCUAGGAUCAACCCUACUCCACUGUGGGGACAGAGCAGCCUUUCUUCCCACUGGAUCACUGGGAGAAACGUGGGCCCAGACACUGGCCCACCGAGCUGAAAAGAAGACAGACUUUGUUUGCCAGACAGAAGAGUGAACCCCAUAUGUGCCCUACUCCUGCUGUAUUCUCAAACCGAAAGCACCAAAUGGUCACUUGAUUAGAUCAGAGGAAACAAAAUGAGGGUUCAAAGGGCAUGUGGCAACAAGCAGCUGGAAGGCACAUGAGAAGCUACUAGGUGGCCUGGGGGCUAGAUGACUAGACAUUGCACUGUACACAGCUGGCUGUAAAACCAGGAAAGGCAGCCCAGGCCCAGCAGGUUACUGGCAGAGGCAAGUAAGAAUCAAAUGGUGUCAAGGACAACCAAAAAGACCAGUGAAUUUCUAAACCCAUCAUCCUUGGGAUCCCAUCAAACAAUCACGUGAUCAAGAAGAGGUAUAGAUGUCUUCACUUUCACUACCUGAAAAGAGUUGUUCUAACAGCAAGGGCAAGUGAAUGCAACAGCUGCCAUAAAGAGUAGGAUACUGCCUACGUUCGCAGUAAAUUAGGAAUAGUAUACCUGAGGUCCUGGAUAGCUGGGCAGGGUGAAUAAAAGCAAAAACAAACGUACCUUUCUUCUUAGAUUCUACUUUAUUUGGUAAAACUCAGAAACUAACAAUUCACAUCCUCCCACCUCCUUCUUUCCGAAGAAGGCAGUUUGCAGAGACAAAAGGGCUGUGGUGUGGGGAUCAUCCACCGUCUCCAGGUUUUACACACAGGCUGCCCAUGGCCUGGCAGGCCUCUAGGCCUGAUGCUCUCAGAGGCAAUAGAAGAAAAGUAAAAGGAAGGUCUCACUUCACAGACAAUGAAACCCUCCCAACCCUCUUCCCCACUACCCACAACUCCCUACACUGCCAAUCUAAAUAAAAAGAGGACAAUGCAUGGGUGUGAGAUAUACACACACACACAUACAUACACACACACACACACACACACACACACACAGAGCUUCCUUUCA